GUGUUCACUUUGGCAUCACAUAUAUUAAAAUUGGAGCAAUACAGAGAAGAUCAGCAUGUCACCUGUGUAAGACGAAAGAAAAAGAAGAAAAACUGGGGAGAAGUUC
rnacentral:snRNA from 1 species